AUGAGGCGAACCGGGGGAACUGAAACAUCUAAGUACCCCGAGGAAAAGAAAUCAACCGAGAUUCCCCCAGUAGCGGCGAGCGAACGGGGAGCAGCCCAGAGCCUGAAUCAGUGUGUGUGUUAGUGGAAGCGUCUGGAAAGGCGUGCGAUACAGGGUGACAGCCCCGUACACAAAAAUGCACAUAUUGUGAGCUCGAUGAGUAGGGCGGGACACGUGGUAUCCUGUCUGAAUAUGGGGGGACCAUCCUCCAAGGCUAAAUACUCCUGACUGACCGAUAGUGAACCAGUACCGUGAGGGAAAGGCGAAAAGAACCCCGGCGAGGGGAGUGAAAAAGAACCUGAAACCGUGUACGUACAAGCAGUGGGAGCACGCUUAGGCGUGUGACUGCGUACCUUUUGUAUAAUGGGUCAGCGACUUAUAUUCUGUAGCAAGGUUAACCGAAUAGGGGAGCCGAAGGGAAACCGAGUCUUAACUGGGCGUUAAGUUGCAGGGUAUAGACCCGAAACCCGGUGAUCUAGCCAUGGGCAGGUUGAAGGUUGGGUAACACUAACUGGAGGACCGAACCGACUAAUGUUGAAAAAUUAGCGGAUGACUUGUGGCUGGGGGUGAAAGGCCAAUCAAACCGGGAGAUAGCUGGUUCUCCCCGAAAGCUAUUUAGGUAGCGCCUCGUGAAUUCAUCUCCGGGGGUAGAGCACUGUUUCGGCAAGGGGGUCAUCCCGACUUACCAACCCGAUGCAAACUGCGAAUACCGGAGAAUGUUAUCACGGGAGACACACGGCGGGUGCUAACGUCCGUCGUGAAGAGGGAAACAACCCAGACCGCCAGCUAAGGUCCCAAAGUCAUGGUUAAGUGGGAAACGAUGUGGGAAGGCCCAGACAGCCAGGAUGUUGGCUUAGAAGCAGCCAUCAUUUAAAGAAAGCGUAAUAGCUCACUGGUCGAGUCGGCCUGCGCGGAAGAUGUAACGGGGCUAAACCAUGCACCGAAGCUGCGGCAGCGACACUAUGUGUUGUUGGGUAGGGGAGCGUUCUGUAAGCCUGUGAAGGUGUACUGUGAGGUAUGCUGGAGGUAUCAGAAGUGCGAAUGCUGACAUAAGUAACGAUAAAGCGGGUGAAAAGCCCGCUCGCCGGAAGACCAAGGGUUCCUGUCCAACGUUAAUCGGGGCAGGGUGAGUCGACCCCUAAGGCGAGGCCGAAAGGCGUAGUCGAUGGGAAACAGGUUAAUAUUCCUGUACUUGGUGUUACUGCGAAGGGGGGACGGAGAAGGCUAUGUUGGCCGGGCGACGGUUGUCCCGGUUUAAGCGUGUAGGCUGGUUUUCCAGGCAAAUCCGGAAAACUAAGGCUGAGGCGUGAUGACGAGGCACUACGGUGCUGAAGCAACAAAUGCCCUGCUUCCAGGAAAAGCCUCUAAGCAUCAGGUAACAUCAAAUCGUACCCCAAACCGACACAGGUGGUCAGGUAGAGAAUACCAAGGCGCUUGAGAGAACUCGGGUGAAGGAACUAGGCAAAAUGGUGCCGUAACUUCGGGAGAAGGCACGCUGAUAUGUAGGUGAAGUCCCUCGCGGAUGGAGCUGAAAUCAGUCGAAGAUACCAGCUGGCUGCAACUGUUUAUUAAAAACACAGCACUGUGCAAACACGAAAGUGGACGUAUACGGUGUGACGCCUGCCCGGUGCCGGAAGGUUAAUUGAUGGGGUCAGCGCAAGCGAAGCUCUUGAUCGAAGCCCCGGUAAACGGCGGCCGUAACUAUAACGGUCCUAAGGUAGCGAAAUUCCUUGUCGGGUAAGUUCCGACCUG
rnacentral:rRNA from 1 species